AUUUAACGGCGCGCUUUUAUGUGCACGCCGUCUCCUGGAGCGGUUUUUGCCCUUUAUAAAAUCAAUAUUGGAGAGAGAAAUCCCAUUAUUAUUAAACCAAACACCACUUGAGAGGAAACCUUCUGCCUUCAAAUUCGAAAUCCCUAGAGUCUUCCCGCCGACGAUUGGACCUAUAAAACUUACAAGUUACACGAUUCAACCCGUCAUCCCUACUCCCUCCUCCUCUCAAUUUAGCCCUUGUUGCGAGCCUGGGAUCGUUCAGUCGAGCUAGAUUUUGUGAGAACUGCCGCCGCCUUUCGCCUCCCAUCGUUGUCAUCCGUCUCCCGCCGUUGCCAUCGCAGUCAACCUAUAAACGGAGUGAUAAGGUUAGUACAAACUGUAAGUUAUUAGUCUCGAUUUUACAGACUGCCUUCCCAAUUAAUUAUGCUGAAUUUGGGAUUUUUGUGCUCAUGGAAAGUUACAGCAUUAUGGAUUCUUUUACUUAGGCCAAUCCCCAAAUUUUAAUACACCAAGCCAACUAAUUAUCUGAACCGGUUCUUUUAUAUACUAUUGUUGAGUUUCCAGAAGUGACCUAUAAAAACGUACGAAUUUGCUGAAAAUAAUUUAAACAGUGGUGUUUAAAUGUUUGGUUUAUAUAGAUUCAACAUAUGUUUAUUUACAAUCAUUACUGUUUUGUGCCAAUAUGUUGAAUAUAUUUUACUGAAAUGUACAUACAUUUUGUUUUGUGUACGAAUUUUUAGGGAAAUGCAAUUGUACACAAAAAUAAUGUUUAUUUACAAUCACCACUGUUUUGUGCCAAUAUGUUGAAUAUAUUUUGCUGAUUUAGUUACCAAAUUCAGCAUAGCUAAUUGUAUUUGGAAAAUCAAUAAGGAAUUAAAUGUUGAAGAUUUUCCUCGAAAACACAACUCUGGAAAACCGCAUGAUAUUUACAAGGACCUACAUAUCCAAAUUAAAGGACUAAAACUUGAUUAGCUGGCCCCUUCCUUUUUUACAUUUGUUGUCAAUUUCUAAAGAUACUGGAUUAUGGAGUUUUGUUAAGAUAGAGUAAAAUACUUGUAUUCCAUUUCAAAAAUGAAAGUUAAUAUUGAAAGAGGUUAAGUUAUACCGUUAUUUAAGCAAUAUAGCAGUGAUGAGCUGAAUCAAUAGUGCAUAGCUACAAGGACUUCCUGUAGACACCAAGACUUAUUUAAAGCUAACUUGUUCAUUUUCAAAUAUGAAUACAGAUGAAUAACAGAAUAAGGUACUGCUCAUGACUAUUAUCCUUGAUGACUGGUCAGAUAAAUUUCUUGUUUAUGACCUAUAUACACACCUCGUGCAUCAGAAUGUUAUAUCCAUAUCAAGGAAAACACAAGUAGAAUGUGUCUGUUAGCCACACAUUUGUAAUAACUUGUCUGACAAUCAAACAUUUCUUACUACAGUUGCAGAUAUUUUGCUAUGGAGAGAGGGGAAGAAAACAUUUACUUGUUUUCUCUUGCUAGUUCUGCUUUAUCAUAUGCUACCACCAAAUAUGUAAGCAUGAACAUUGUAGUUUUCUUUGGUGGAUGAUGCUAUUAGCUCUUUAUAUAGAUAGAAUUUCAUUGCUUGUAUACCUCUUUUUUAGAAUUGUCCACUAGUAUCUUCUUGAGCAUUUUGCUAAUAUACUUCUGGUUAGCUCAAUAUACCUUGAAUUUAUAAAUGCACGAAUUCAUUCAACUUAAGCAAAUAAUAAAGUUUGUUUCAUUUGGAGUUAUCGAGCAUCUCUAGCAAUUUCAUAAAAUGGCUUGAAUUUGAUGAAGGAUAAGGCGACGAUUUCAACAAACGGAUCCAUUUUGCAAAAGUAAAACGGUAAUGAAAUAGCCUUUGUCCGUUUAAAUUGUAUAAAAUAAUAGAAUAAGAUGUAAUCUCUGUAGUUUGAUGUGCAUCAAACUAACAUUAUACUUUUUGCUCAAAUAUUUUGACCCCAAAUGUCUUAAGUUGAAAACUUUUGUUGAACUCUUAAUAGGUUCUAAAUUCAUGUGCCAAAAGGAAGGAUUUCAAGACACUGAGCUCUUUUAACUAAAGAAGAUUGCUAACAUAUUUGACGGACAUUGUGAAAGAAAAAUCCAGUAAGCUUCUUCACUUGUUUUUUUUUUUUCCCCCCCUCUUAUGAGAAUGACUGUUGAGAUAAUUAAUCUGAUAGUAUGGCUUCAUGCUUGGAAACUAAUAGUUGUAUAUAUAAAUGUUUUUUUUCCCUGUAGGUGCUUCAGAUAUUGAAAUAAGAAUUUCCAAAUAAAUUGCAAAGUUAAGUGGUUUGAGUCCUAAAAUGCCUUCAUUGAUGGAAAAUGGUUGUGCUGCUAAACUUGAGUGUAUUGGAGCAUGGACUAAUCCUGCAGAUAGUUUUGAGUCGACUUUGAUAAUGAUGAAUUGAAUAGUAGUGUGCUCUCCAUGUUCUAGAGGAUGGAUAUGCAAUAGCAGCUCAUACAGGCUUGGGGAAGAAGGAAGAACUUUCUUGGGAAGAGCUUGGGGCGAUUAUUCACGAGUUAUAUAUUCGUAUUGUGAAUUUGAUGCCAUUGUAAGACCAGAAGGAUGGAAUGACUGGAGGAAACAACUAAAUGAACUGUUUUUUUUUUUUUUUUAAAGAAAUUUGACAUUUACGGCGUGCGCAGGAUGGAAUGACUGGAGGAAACAACUAAAUGAACAGUUUUUUUUUUUUUAAAAGAAAUUUGACAUUUACAGCGUGCAUGCGCACGCUGUAUGAAGUCGAUAUUCUUGCAUUUACGGCGUGCAAAUGCACGCCAUAAAUAAUCAGUACUGUUAUUUAUGGCAUGCACAUGCACGCCAUAAAUAGUGAAUACUUUUACAAUGUGCAUUUCCACGCCGUAAAUAGUUCUUAAUGGCAUGCAUUUACGACGUGCUUUGCACGCCAUAAAAACCUUUACCUAUUUACGACAUUAAUUUAUACGGCAUGCAGCUGUACGCCGUAAAAGGUCCAUUUUGUUGUAGUGCAUGUAUUAUGAUUUAUAAAAUUUUAGUGAGUGGCGUGUUUGAUGGCUCAUGUAUAGCUCACGGUUGAUUGUUCAAUAGUGUAUAUAUAUAAUUUAUCAAUUGGAAG
rnacentral:lncRNA from 1 species